rnacentral:tRNA from 1 species
GGGCCGGUAGUCUAGCGGUAUGACACACGGCAUAAGGCUGCCCUUACGAGGCAGAGGUCGAGGGUUCGACUCCCUCCCGGCCCA